rnacentral:rRNA from 1 species
CGGGAGAGGUUAAUAACGGAACCUUACCUUUUACAUGCCGGCUCGCCAUUGGUUUUUCCCUUCGGGGAUUGGGACACAGGUNNUGCAUGGCUGUUGGUCAGCUUCGUGUCGUGAAUGUUGGGUUAAGUCCCGCAAACGAGCGCAACCCACGGCCAUUAGUUGCCAUCAUUUAGUUGGGCACUCUAAUGGGACCGCCGGUGGUAAGCCGGAGGAAGGUGUGGAUGACGUCAAGUCCUCAUGGCCCUUACGGGGUGGGCUACACACGUGCUACAAUGGCGACUACAGAGGGUUGCAAGCCUGCGAAGGUGAGCCAAUCCCAAAAAGUCGUCUCAGUUCGGAUUGCACUCUGCAACUCGAGUGCAUGAAGUCGGAAUCGCUAGUAAUCGCGGAUCAGCAUGCCGCGGUGAAUACGUUCCCGGGCCUUGUACACACCGCCCGUCACACCAUGGGAGUUGGCUUUACCCGAAGGCGGUGCGCUAACCAGCAAUGAAGGCAGCCGACCACGGUAGGGUCAGCACUGGGGUAAGUCGUACAAUGUAGCCGAGCGCGCGAUCCUGUAAUCAACUUAAUUGCUCCUCCUACAUAUAAGUCUCCCACACGCUAUAACCUAAA